rnacentral:rRNA from 1 species
GACGAACGCUGGCGGCGUGCCUAAUACAUGCAAGUCGAGCGAAUCAACAGGAGCUUGCUCCUGUUGGUUAGCGGCGGACGGGUGAGUAACACGUGGGCAACCUGCCUGUAAGACUGGGAUAACACCGGGAAACCGGUGCUAAUACCGGAUAAUCCUUUUCCUCUCAUGAGGAAAAGCUGAAAGUCGGUUUAGGCUGAGACUUACAGAUGGGCGCGCGGCGCAUUAGCUAGUUGGUGAGGUAACGGCUCACCAAGGCGACGAUGCGUAGCCGACCUGAGAGGGUGAUCGGCCACACUGGGACUGAGACACGGCCCAGACUCCUACGGGAGGCAGCAGUAGGGAAUCUUCCACAAUGGACGAAAGUCUGAUGGAGCAACGCCGCGUGAGUGAUGAAGGCCUUCGGGUCGUAAAGCUCUGUUGUUAGGGAAGAACAAGUACCGGAGUAACUGCCGGUACCUUGACGGUACCUAACCAGAAAGCCACGGCUAACUACGUGCCAGCAGCCGCCGUAAGAC